rnacentral:tRNA from 1 species
UAUAAGAUGCCUGAUUAAAGGAUAAUUUUGAUAGAAUUAUACAUGUACCCCCCGUACUCUUAUAA